rnacentral:tRNA from 1 species
GGUAAUGUGGCCGAGCGGUCUAAGGCAAUGGUUUAAGGCAUCACUUUCUUGGAGGCGUGGUUUCGAAUCCCACCACUGCUA